rnacentral:tRNA from 1 species
GCAUGGGUGGUUCAGUGGUAGAAUUCUCGCCUGCCACGCGGGAGACCCGGGUUCGAUUCCCGGCCCAUGCA